GUAGGGUGGCAAGCGUUGUCCGGAUUUACUGGGCGUAAAGCGCGCGCAGGCGGCUCACCAAGGGCUGGGGGUGAAAUCUCCCGGCUUAACCGGGAGGGGUCUCUGGAUACUGGUGAGCUUGAGGGGAGCAGAGGAGAGUGGAAUUCCCGGUGUAGCGGUGAUAUGCGUAGAUAUCGGGAGGAACACCAGUGGCGAAGGCGGCUCUCUGGGCUCUCCCUGACGCUGAGGCGCGAAAGCGUGGGGAGCAAACCGGAUUAGAUACCCGGGUAGUCCACGCUGUAAACGUUGGGCACUGGGUGUGGGAGGUAUUGACCCCUUCCGUGCCGUAGCUAACGCGAUAAGUGCCCCGCCUGGGGAGUACGGCCGCAAGGCUA
rnacentral:rRNA from 1 species